UGUCCAGGGAUGGGAAUCGAACCCACAGUGUUCCGCUAACCGUGCAGAUGCCAUGUCUACUAGGCUAUUCUGGAU
rnacentral:tRNA from 1 species